UAAGGAAUAUUGCUCAAUGGGAGAAAUCCUGAAGCAGCAACGCCGCGUGGAGGAUGAAGGGUCUAUGACUUGUAAACUCCUGUAAAGAAGGAAAAAAUUCCCAUUAGAUGGGAGAUGAUGGUACUUCUGGAGUAAGCCCCGGCUAACUACGUGCCAGCAGCCGCGGUAAUACGUAGGGGGCAAGCGUUGUCCGGAUUUACCGGGUGUAAAGGGUGCUCAGGCGGAUUUGUAAGUCAGAGGUGAAAUCUUACAGCUUAACUGUGAAACUGCCUUUGAUACUGCAAGCCUAGAGUAUGGAAGAGAGGGAUGGAAUAUCUGGUGUAGCAGUGAAAUGCGUAGAUAUCAGAUAGAACACCAAUGGCGAAGGCAGUCACUUGGUCCAUUACUGACGCUAAAGCACGAAAGCGUGGGUAGCAAACA
rnacentral:rRNA from 1 species